CAAAGACAACAACACUGUUAACAACGGCAACAACAAAUGUUAUAUCACCAGUGACUACAACUUCUACAAAACGAUCACCACUGUCAACAACAGCAUCACAAAUAAUAACUACAAAACAAUCUGAAACUACCAUACUUGUACGGCCGUCGACUUCUUCAAUAUUGAGUCAGACGAUUCCAGCAAUAGGGACGGGGCUUGUUCUGAUUUGCGUCAUUGUCCUGGUUGUCUGCUUCCGUUACAGG